rnacentral:rRNA from 1 species
CUAGCGACUUCAGAGUUUGAUCCUGGCUCAGAACGAACGCUGGCGGCAGGUCUUAGGCAUGCAAGUCGAACGGGUGAAGCAGGUGCUUGCACUUGUGGAUCUAGUGGCGCACGAGUGAGUAACGCGUGGGAAACUGCCCACCACUGGGGAAUAACGUUUGGAAACGAACGCUAAUACCGCAUACGCCGGAAACGGGAAAGAUUUAUCGGUGGUGGAUGUGCCCGCGUUGGAUUAGCUUGUUGGUGGGGUAACGGCCUACCAAGGCAAUGAUCCAUAGCUGGUCUGAGAGGACGAUCAGCCACGCUGGAACUGAGACACGGUCCAG